ensembl:lncRNA
GGCCUUAUCUGCUGGUGAGAUCAUGCAUCGCUGCUUUAUCCUUCCAUGCAUCGAGCCCAACAUUAUCUGUCGCAUUGGACAUGCCACAGAGUCGCUCCAGUGCUGGAGAGUUCAGCGAAUCAUGCAAAAGCAGAAUCUGGGCGAGCGUGACUCACACAGCCCUGCUGGAGUGUCUGCUGUCAGCAGGUCUGUCUUAGUGGGUGACAGGAGAGAAAUAAUGACAGCCCUGCUCGUAACAUGACAACAGUUUGUGUCAUCGCUGGAAAUCCUGAGCAUGUGGGCAGAAUCUCUCAUCCAGGCAUGAGUUUUCAUCAUCGUGCAUGUUGUUCUUCAUUGUGUACAUAUUUUUGUGCGUUAAGGUCAGAUAUUGCAUCAUUCGGUUUUACAUAAACUCUGGCCAAACAAAAACUGCCAACAAUGUGCCAGGAAGGGCAGAAGGACACAGAGGAGGACAAGUGAAAGAAAGGAAAGGCCACGUUUAAUGAUCCAGAAUCCAAUCUCAGCAACUAAAAUCUCACUCUAAUUAAAUAUUAUGUGAAAAAUGACUUAAAUGUUGGUCUGUUCUACCUACAAAGCUUCCGAAGUCUUGAAAUAUAGCAGCUAUGCCUGAAGGAGUCUUUUUGCUUUGCUUUUUAGUACUUUUAUUGUACUUUUUAGAGUUUGAGAGCUUCAGUCCACCUUUGUUGUAACAGCAUGGAAAAGAGCGAUCAGAAAUUGGCCCAAAUCGAAUACAAGUCCACAAACAUCCAAUCUCAUAUAGAUUUGAUCUGUGCCAGAUGUUUGUGAAAAAAAAUGUACACAGACCGCAGGAAGCCAACCUGAAAGUCCAGGACCUGCACUUUCAUCUCAGCAUCUGAAAGAGAGAGAGAGACGGGUCUGAAGGACAGGAGGACUGACAUUGGGUAUGUCUUGAAUCAUACAACCUUCAUGUGUUGACCGAAAAACAGUAUGCAGAGUGUAUUCACUGCAGAGGAUGCAGAUUUCCUGUAUGCAGGAAACACACAGGUGAUCUACAACAUUUGUCAAAUUGCGCAAUAUGCAAUGCGCUUGACUUGACCUUCCAUUUCCACUGAAAACUCUAGCGUUCAUUAGUGAUUUACUUAUCGUGUUUGUGCUACAGACAUGAAUGACUCAGAUCGUGUGGUUUGUUCAGAAGAGGUGUGCAUUACUCUUUUUAUAAUGAUUAGAUUUACGCUUUCCAUUUAAUGGACAAUAAAAUCAGCUAAAAAUCCA